rnacentral:rRNA from 1 species
UGGUGGAGUGAUUUGUCUGGUUGAUUCCGAUAACGAACGAGACCCGGGCUGCUUAGUAGCCGCGCGCUCCUUUCGGAGCGUUGCUCGGCUUCUUAGUGGGACAACCUGCUUUUAGCAGGAGGAAGCGCCGGGCAAUAACA